GCGAGGAUCUAGGUACAUUAUCAAAUGCAUAUAUUUACUUUUUCCUAUGAUUUAGUAAUUACAAUAACAACUACAUUCUCCAUUCGUGCAGGGAGUGCUGGAAAUUUAUGUGUCUCAGUGCGUGACUACUACUGCUACAAAUUUCAAAUGUGUCCUGGUAUUCUCAACCCAAUAUUUUAUGGCAAGCGGCUUUUUCAACAAUUUGCCGUUGAUACAUAUGUUAAGAUUGAAAGCUCUCAAUUAGAUGACAUCCGAAAUAAUCAGGAUAGUCUCAGGGCCGACCUGUACCAGGGUCUUGUUGAUACUUUGAACGCUGGUGAGGGCCGAGCCGAUGUUGUUGGAAGACGUACUAUCCUUUCUACGACAUUCAUCGGAGGUCCUCGUGAUAUGAGGCGUCGGUAUAUGGAUGCAAUGGCCCUGGUAUGCAAGUACGGCAAACCGGAUAUCUUUCUAACAAUGACCUGCAAUCCUAACUGGGAUGAGAUCAGGAAUGAACUCUAUCCAGGCCAGUCAGCACAAGAUCGACCGGAUCUUGUAUCCCGUGUGUUCAGGGCGAAGCUGGAGGCUAUGAAAAUAAAGUUGUUGAAGAAUGAUAUACUUGGAAAGGUUCGGGCGUACGUGUAUGUUGUGGAAUUUCAGAAGAGGGGUCUACCACAUGCUCACUUCUUGCUCAUAAUGAAAAGGAAAUGGAAGCUCACAUGCCCGGAGCAGUAUGACCGACUUAUAUGUGCUGAGCUGACAAACAAGAAGAAAUAUCCAGAGUUGUACAUAAUGGUGACUAAGCAUAUGAUGCAUGGGCCAUGCGGUGUGCUAAACCCAAAUUGUCUGUAUACUAAGGGUCGUUCUUCAUGCAAAAAUCAUUAUCCACGUCCCUUCGCAGAAUCCACCUCACAGGGUAAAGAUUCUUACCCAAUAUAUCGUCGUCGUGACAAUGGGUCUAAAGAGAAGGUUCGAGGUUAUGAGCUUGACAAUCGGUGGGUUGUCCCUUAUAACCCGCACUUAUUGCGUGCGUUCAAUUGUCACAUAAAUGUUGAGGCAUGUAGCAUCAUUAAAUCAGUAAAGUAUUUAUUCAAGUAUGUAUACAAAGGUCAUGAUCGAGCUUCAAUAGCAGUUAGGGAGUCUGGCCAGGCGGAUAAAGAAGGGAACGUAGAUGAGAUCAAAGCUUAUAGAGACGCUCGAUGGGUGACACCUCCAGAGGCGUUGUGGAGGAUAUAUGGUUUUGACCUUAGUAAAAAUCAUCCCCCCGUACAACAACUUCAGCUCCAUCUUCCUGACAUGCACAUGGUGUCAUUUCACAAUCGUCAAAAGAUUGAGCACGUUGUUAAUAAAUCAGGUGCCGAUGAAUCAAUGUUGACUGCAUAUUUCAAAGCAAACAGGUUGCACGAGUCUGUUCGUAACAUAUUAUAUCGUGAUUUCCCAGAAUUUUUCACAUGGCAGUCUGAUGGUAAAUUUUGGCAUCCAAGGGAACGAGCUAACACUGGGCAGGUUGGGAGGAUCGUAUCAGCUCAUCCAGCUGAAGGUGAACGCUACUAUCUCCGGAUUCUCCUAAAUCAUGUGGCUGGAGCAACUUCAUAUGAAGAUUUGAGAACCGUUGGUGGCGUGAUACAACCUUCUUUCCGUGAAGCUGCUGAGAAAAGAGGGUUGAUUUAGGAGGACAGCUCACUUGAUGAGUGUAUUUCUAAAGUUGCCUUGUAUCAGAUGCCAUCAUCACUACAAAGGCUUUUUGCAACAAUAUUAGUAUUUUGUGAACCAAGUGAUGUAUUCGCACUCUGGCAAAAACACUUGGACGCAAUGUCUGAGGAUUAUCAUCGCAACAAUCCAUCAGAUGUUAUCGUUGAGCAAAUGGUCCUAAUUGAUAUUAGAAACAUGCUGCAAUCAAUGGGGAAGGAUAUAAAAUCAUUCCCUCUUCCUGAGAUUGAUAACACUUAUGAUGACGCUUGUGGUGUUCCACGGGAGAUAUUCGAGGAAUCAAAUAUAGAGAGCACCGAGGAUGACGUGGUCUUAUCAAAAUCCCUUAACAUUGAGCAGAGGGCUGCUUAUGAUGAGAUCUUGUCAUCUAUUGAUUCCAAUGACGGCGGUUUGUUUUUUGUGGAUGGCCCUGGUGGCACCGGGAAAACAUUCUUGUAUAGGGCUUUGCUUGCCAAAGUCCGCAGUCAUAACAAGAUUGCUGUUGCGACUGCUACGUCUGGGGUUGCUGCAUCCAUAAUGCCCGGUGGGAGAACAGCACAUUCACAUUUCAAGAUUCCACUUACAAUUGAUAGUGGUGGAUAUUAUAGUUUCACUAAACAAAGUGGUACAGCGACUCUGCUAUGCACUGCUUCUUUGAUUGUUUGGGAUGAGGUUUCUAUGAUCAAAAAACAAGCAGUGGAGGCGUUGGACAAUAGCAUGUGUGAUAUAAUGGAUAGGCCAGAUUUGCCUUUUGGUGGGAAGACUGUUGUGUUUGGGGGAGACUUUAGGUAGGUCCUACCAGUUGUCAGGAAGGGGUCGAGGGCUCAGAUAGUGGAUGCUUCGUUACGCAGGUCAUACCUGUGGGAUUAUAUGCGUCACCUAAAGCUUGUGCGCAACAUGAGAGCGCACAGUGACCCAUGGUUUGUUGAAUAUCUUUUGCGCAUUGGCAACGGAAUAGAGGAGGCCAAUGCUGAUGGUGAAAUCCGUCUCCCAGACGAAAUUUGCGUGCCAUAUACUGGAGAUGGCAAUGAUCUUGAUAGAUUAAUCCAAUGCAUCUUCCCUAACCUUAAUGAGAACAUGGCAGACACGGACUACAUCACUUCUAGAGCUAUUUUGUCCACACGCAAUGAUUGGGUUGAUAGGAUUAAUAUGAAGAUGAUUGGAUCUUUCCAAGGUGGGGAGGUGGAGUAUCAUAGUUUUGAUUCUGCUGUAGAUGAUCCACACAACUAUUAUCCAUCAGAGUUUCUUAACACCCUUACACCCAAUGGAUUGCCUCCACAUGUGUUAAAGCUAAAGGUGGGUUGUCCAAUAAUAUUGCUUCGGAACAUUGAUCCUGCAAAUGGUUUAUGUAAUGGUACGAGGUUAGUUGUCCGUGGUUUCCAAAGAAAUACUAUAGAUGCUGAAAUCGUGUUGGGCCAGCAUGCUGGAAAACGAGUUUUCCUCCCUCGGAUACCCUUAUGCCCCUCUGAUGACGAGAUGUUCCUGUUUCAAUUCAAAACAAAACAGUUUCCUAUCCGGCUCAGUUUUGCCAUGACGGUCAACAAGUCACAAGGUCAGACUAUUACUAACGUCGGUGUUUACCUCCCUGACCCCGUGUUCUCACAUGGGCAAUUGUAUGUUGCAAUGUCAAGGGCAACUGCUAGAACAAACAUCAAGAUUCUAGCACUUCCACCAAAUGCCACUGAGCUCGAGGAAGAAGCUAAAAAGGAAAAGAAAAAUGCUAAAAAAAAGGGUAAGGACACUGUCAAUAACAAGAAAGAAAAGAAAAAGAUCCCAGUAUAUACAUGUACGAAGAAUAUUGUAUACAAGGAGGUCCUAACGGGAUAAUCCAGAGAUUUGUGUGACAAUGUGUUCAUCUGCCUCUGUCCGAGAAAUUCAUAUGCUUACUCUUCGAAAUGUUUCUCAGGUCUGGCCAUGGAUAUAUUGCGGCUAGAGAGCUCCAUACAAAUAUGUUGCUCGUGCUUUUGUUAAUUUAACAGAGCAGAGUCCUAUGCGUAUUCUACUAUCACAGGAAAAGACAUUUGAAUUAGAUAUAUGAGAUAAAUUAUUCAAACUAUGUUUAUGAGAAUAUUGAUACUGUGAUUUUGUCUAGAUGAAUUCUUAAUCCAUUAUGGAUAGUUUGAUUUCAUCGAAUGCAAUAUUUUUCGGACGUGUAGAAUAUUGUUUUGGGUUUACUUUUGUUCACUCAUAGCACUGGAAUGGUUCUAUCAAGUCUAAA